rnacentral:rRNA from 1 species
CCUACGGGAGGCAGCAGUGGGGAAUAUUGCACAAUGGGGGAAACCCUGAUGCAGCGACGCCGCGUGAGCGAUGAAGUAUUUCGGUAUGUAAAGCUCUAUCAGCAGGGAAGAAAAUGACGGUACCUGACUAAGAAGCCCCGGCUAACUACGUGCCAGCAGCCGCGGUAAUACGUAGGGGGCAAGCGUUAUCCGGAUUUACUGGGUGUAAAGGGAGCGUAGACGGCUUGGCAAGCCAGAUGUGAAAGGCUGGGGCUCAACCCCAGGACUGCAUUUGGAACUGUCAUGCUAGAGUGUCGGAGAGGCAGGCGGAAUUCCUAGUGUAGCGGUGAAAUCCGUAGAUAUUAGAAGGAACACCAAUAGCGUAGGCAGGUUGCUGGGACGGUUCUGACACUAAGGCACGAUAGCGUAGGGAGCAAACGGGAUUAGAUACCCGUGUAGUC